rnacentral:rRNA from 1 species
GGGUGCGAUCAUACCAGCACUAAUGCACCGGAUCCCAUCAGAACUCCGAAGUUAAACGUGCUUGGGCUAGAGUAGUACUAAGAUGGGUGACCUCUUAGGAAGUACUCGUGUUGCACCCC